rnacentral:rRNA from 1 species
CGCACGGGUGCGUAACACGUAUGCAACCUACCCUGUACCGGGACACAACCCUCCGAAAGGGGGGCUAAUAUCCCAUGACAUUGCGGAUGGGCAUCCAUUUGCAAUUAAAGAUUCAUUGGUACAGGAUGGGCAUGCGUCCCAUUAGCUAGUUGGAGGGGUAACGGCCCACCAAGGCGACGAUGGGUAGGGGUUCUGAGAGGAAGGUCCCCCACACUGGUACUGAAGACACGGACCAGACUCCUACGGGAGGCAGCAGUAAGGAAUAUUGGGCAAUGGUCGGAAGACUGACCCAGCCAUGCCGCGUGCAGGAAGACGGCCCUAUGGGUUGUAAACUGCUUUUGUCGGGGAAUAAACCUGCCCACGUGUGGGCAGCUGAAGGUACCCGGCGAAUAAGCAUCGGCUAACUCCGUGCCAGCAGCCGCGGUAAUACGGAGGAUGCAAGCGUUAUCCGGAUUCACUGGGUUUAAAGGGUGCGCAGGCGGGAUGAUAAGUCAGAGGUGAAAUCCUACGGCUCAACUGUAGAACUGCCUUUGAUACUGUCGUUCUUGAGUAAAGUUGGAGUGGGCGGAAUGUGUUGUGUAGCGGUGAAAUGCUUAGAUAUAACACAGAACACCGAUCGCGAAGGCAGCUCACUAAGCUUUAACUGACGCUCAUGCACGAAAGCGUGGGGAUCAAACAGGAUUAGAUACCCUGGUAGUCCACGCUGUAAACGAUGAUCACUCGCUGUUGGCGAUACACUGCCAGUGGCUAAGCGAAAGUGAUAAGUGAUCCACCUGGGGAGUACGAUCGCAAGAUUGAAACUCAAAGGAAUUGACGGGGGCCCGCACAAGCGGAGGAGCAUGUGGUUUAAUUCGAUGAUACGCGAGGAACCUUACCAGGGCUCGAACGCGGGGGGAAUCACGUGGAAACGCGUGAGCCAGCAAUGGCCGCCUGCGAGGUGCUGCAUGGUUGUCGUCAGUUCGUGCCGUGAGGUGUCAGGUUAAGUCCUAUAACGAGCGCAACCCCUAUCCUUAGUUGCCAGCAAGUAAAGUUGGGGACUCUAAGGAAACUGCCUACGCAAGUAGUGAGGAAGGUGGGGAUGACGUCGAGUCAGCACGGCCCUUAUGUCCUGGGCUACACACGUGCUACAAUGGUCGGUACAGAGGGCAGCUACCGGGCGACCGGAUGCUAAUCUCGAAAGCCGAUCUCAGUUCGGAUCGGAGUCUGCAACC